UACGAGGGGGGCGAGCGUUGUUCGGAAUUAUUGGGCGUAAAGGGUGCGUAGGCGGUUCCGCAAGUCCUGUGUGAAAUCUUCGGGCUCAACUCGAAGUCUGCACGGGAAACUGCGGGGCUUGAGUGUGGGAGAGGUGAGUGGAAUUCCCGGUGUAGCGGUGAAAUUCGUAGAUAUUCGGAAGAACACCAGUGGCGAAGGCGACUUACUGGACACGUAUUGACGCUGAGGUGCGAAAGCGUGGGGAGCAAACAGG
rnacentral:rRNA from 1 species